CCGGGGAGCUCGGGCGACCGGGCUGAGAGGCGGGCAACGCGCGCUCGCGACCCGACGAACCUGAACCGGGUAAUGCCGGCGGAGGGAG
rnacentral:ncRNA from 1 species